rnacentral:rRNA from 1 species
AAAUGACGGUACCUGACUAAGAAGCCCCGGCUAACUACGUGCCAGCAGCCGCGGUAAUACGUAGGGGGCAAGCGUUAUCCGGAUUUACUGGGUGUAAAGGGAGCGUAGACGGCUUUGCAAGUCUGACGUGAAACUCCGGGGCUCAACUCCGGAACUGCGUUGGAAACUGUAAGGCUUGAGUGCCGGAGAGGUAAGCGGAAUUCCUAGUGUAGCGGUGAAAUGCAUAGAUAUUAGGAGGAACACCAGUGGCGAAGGCGGCUUACUGGACGGCAACUGACGUUGAGGCUCGAAAGCGUGGGGAGCAAACAGGAUUAGAUACCCUGGUAGUCCACGCGGUAAACGAUGAAUACUAGGUGUUGGGGGACAAAGUCCUUCGGUGCCGCCGCAAACGCAUUAAGUAUUCCACCUGGGGAGUACGUUCGCAAGAAUGAAACUCAAAG